rnacentral:lncRNA from 1 species
UGCAGAGGGAGGGAGAAUGUGAGCAGCUUCCAGAAGGUGUGGGGCUUUGAGGAAAGGGGACGGAGAGCAUCUGAAGGAAGCUUGGGUGUAAUCGGGCCACUGUCUCCAGAAGACUCAGGAAGGCUACUCAGAGAAGGGUCCCCCCAAGGGAUGUGGGACGGUUGGCCUAACCCUGUGGCAGACGGCUCUGCUUCUCUUCAUGGCCUAUGGAUUUGGAAAGCUCCUGAGUGCAAUGAGGAGUACCUCACCUAGCAGCCAAGACCUAUUCCCUGCCCCAGUGCCCCAGUACCCCAGAAACAGGCCAAGCCCCAGACUCUCCUGGCAUAAAUACCGGCUCCCGUCCAACCUCACGCCAUCAGGUAUGGGAGAUGCUGGGACCAGCAGCUAGCAGAGGGAAAAUGACAUAUCCUAGGAUUCAAUCCAAUCAGGAUUCCAUCCCA